rnacentral:tRNA from 1 species
CAGAUGGAAGCCCGCUGGGUUGGGUGUUUAGCUGUUAACUGAAUUUUUGUGGGAUCGAGGCCCACCCAUCUG